CUGCCCUAGUAGUUUAACCCAAAGCACUG
rnacentral:tRNA from 1 species